GUCGCGUGUGGAGCCUGCCAAAAUUCAAAUUCAGUUCCCUUGGCAGUUGCAUUUCCGAUACCUUGCUUAGAAACAUGUCAAUCAGUGUUAGAGUGGGAGUAUACUAUUGAGCGUGUUUGUAUUUGGAAGUGACGUCAGUCACAGUCGACGGCCAAGAAGUAAUGAUGGGAGUUCCGGGUCUUUUUAUUGAGCCAGAUCGUUUCGCUCAGCUCGGCAAUAAGAGCCGGCGCACUUAACUGCAUAAUGUUUAAUAUUUGCAAUUGAACGAACGUGUAUAUUGUUUAUGUUAUUUAAUAAAAAAAAAUAAAUAAAAAGAGCCGGCUCUUUCGGCUCCCAAAUGGCUCUUCAUUCUGGCUUUUAUAAUUCAGCCAAAUUUAGCAAAUGGUUGGUUGAUCAUUUUGACCUAUGAUUGGUAUGCAUGCACAUAUAUCACUUAAAGUAUUCAAUGUAAUUAUACUAAACCUUAUAAUUUUCAGAAUACCACAAUUUCACAUUACGUCUGGUAUAAAAACCUUAAAUAAUAUAAAAACAUCAAACACUAUUACACAUGCGUAUUCAACGUUUUAUUUAUACUGAGCUUCCCAAAACACAACCAAAAAAAAAAAAACGGAACAUGCUGUGCCAUAUAACAAAUAAAGAAUAAACGUGCACAUUUGGAUGUACAAUUCUAAUAUGCCUGUGAAAGUUGUUAGUAGACCCUGCUCGAUAUAAUAUUUUUACCUUACAAAUUCUACAUCUUGCCUUUAUGUUGUCUAUGUUAUUAAAAUGCAUCCAAAUGCUACUUCGUUUGCGACUGUCACUCAUCUUGUUUUCUGACCCGAAAUUAAAAAUGAUCUUUUCACCACACUGCUCGGUUACACACACUCCAUGCAGCACAAUCGACUACACGUUUUCCUUCUUGGCCGUCGACUGUGACUGACGUCACUUCCAAAUACAAACACACCCCAUAGUAUACUCCAUAGUAUAUAUACAUUCCCUUUGAAUUUUGGCAGGCUACAUAUGCAAUACCGAGGAAGUGAAAUACCAAACGGGCCAUUCCAGUGAUGCCAAUGUGGAUGGAUCGGAAACAGAAGUAGACAUGGUGGUAUACCUAGGUCAUCUGUGACGUGAACAAAGAAAGCUGCAAAACACCUGGCUGUUAGACACCUGUGAGGACAGCAGGAGCAGUGAGACACCUGUAAAACACAGCAGGAGCAGUGAAACACCUAUGAGGACAGAAGGAGAAGUGAGACACCUGUGAAGGCAGCAGGAUAGAGGUGACAGAGAAUGUGGAAAUGGAUCUGUGUCACUCCAUCAUUGCACUACUGAGACAUUGCACCUGGAACAAGAGACCUUGCAAAAAUGGGGUAACCAUUCUAUGAAGACGGCAAUCAGUUCAGGAUCCUGAAGAGUACACCAUAUUCUCUUAUCACCAUGGUAAAGUUUCUAACUUGAUCCUUAAAUAUGGAAGAACAGUGUUAAUAUUUCGUAAGAUAGCUUACUAUACAUGUCACUAUGUGGGUCACUUGGUUGCUGUUAUUUUGCAAAAAUGUUUUUGAAAAAGAUAUUUUGUAUCUGUAAAUGCGACUAUAUCAUAUUGUAUCUGUUUGCCUUUUCGUGUUUAUGGCAAAUAAUCUGCAAACUUGUACAAUUGUUUUUUUUUUUUUUUUAAACAAUGCUGCUUUGUAUUUUACUGAAACUCUAAUGCUCAUAUUUCAAAUGGGUUGAGCUAGAUUGGUGUUUGACCAAGAUGACCAAUAGGUUGUCCCUAAACAUGUAACUGUAACAUAUUGUACCUGUUGACCUUACCAUAUGUAUAGCAAUGUUGGAAAUUAGCUGUUUAGAUUAAGCUGCCCGCAUUCUCCACUGUAGGAAAUUAGCUGUUUAGGUUAAACUGCCCGCAUUCUUCACCUAAAUAUGUAGGAAAUUUGCAGAUCAGCUCUAAUUUCAGGGGAAAUUUUGCAAACUUUAUAUUGCAACAACUAGUCAACUAUUCGUCUAGCAAUAAGUUGAAAUUAGUGUAUUUACUAAUUGUGCAUGGGAUAUUACCUCCGUGGCCACCAGCAAUAAUGUCCUAAAUAUAGUGAAAACAUCAUAUUAAGAGCACAGUAACAAGAUCGGCAAACUCGAUACUCGAGUUUCCAGGACUAUUUCUCAGACCAUGACCUGAACGAACCAUCAACUUAUCAGUUUAACCUUUGUUUCGUUUAGAAGGGCUUUAAACUUUAUAUUAAAAGCACCAGUUCAGCGAGAAUCUGGAGGUACUGUACUUGCAUUUGCAUUGUCCUAGAUGGGGAUUUGUCAGCGGUCUGGUUGCUUAUGAGUGGCAUCUUGGAAGACCAAUCAGAAUGGUGAAUGGAGUGAGGAGUCUCGUAGGCGAGCUGCAGGAAGGCGCUUGAUUAGCGUGGUAGAGGUUUCUUUGACACUGUUGCGACUGGAGUCUGGAGGCUUCGCAGGAACCGGUCAUUACAGACUUGGCUGAGGUUCAGAGCAAGCGUGAUCUCCUCGUGGUCGAGGGGCGAGAACUUCUGAAGCUCUUGUUUGACAAGAACUUCUUGGAGUAGUUUGACGAGAACUCCUGAGUUGUUAAUGGAUGAGGACUCAGUGUUUCCUUUGUGUCUGUGGGUUUUAACCUGUCCUUUCAGGACAUGUAAGGUAACCUGAUGCAUUUGUUAAAGCUGGGUUCUGUUGAAUGUGUGAAUGGUGGUGAACUUUGUGCUCCUGGGGGGAAAAGCAAAGGUCUCAUUACAGUCCUCAGCCUGUGUUAACCCUUUCUUGAGGCCUCGUGAGUUACCCCCCUUUUUUCCUUAGGUUAUCAGAUUUAUGGCUGAGGGUCCUUGGGUUUUAUCCUGUAGAACAUAAAUGGUGAACAUUCAGUUUAUGUAUACACACAAUACUCUUGAAGAUAUUAAUAGAUUUAACCUCCUACACCCCCUAAAUAGGUGCACUCUACUAUUUCUAUUAUUAAGUAUUAUUAAGACAUAUAGAUUUCAUCACAGAGGCCAUCAAACACAGAUGGAAAUUGAAAACAAUCUAUGGGAAGUGUAUGCACACCUGCUCAAUAAAGGUAAGACUUACUGAUCAGCAAGCUGCAAUGUAUAGCCAGCAUUAUCUUUUUCAGCAAUUUGUGCUACAGUAGAUCUUCUCUGGGAUCAGACUAUAUGGGCUAGCUUUUGUUCCCCACGUGCACAACACCUGCCGUUUCGGAGAUGCUCUGACCCAGUCGUCUAGCCAUCACAAUUUGGCCCUUGUCAAAGUCACUCAGAUCCUUAUGCUUGCCCAUUUUUUCCAGCUUCCAACACAUCAACUUCAAGAACUGACUGUUCACUUGCUGCCUAAUAUAUCCCCCCCUUGACAGAUGCCAUUGUAACGAGAUAAUUAAUGUAUUUACUUCACCUCUCAGUGGUUUUAAUGUUAUGGCUGAUCGGUGUAACUUAGUUCAGUUUAAAACCCUACACAGAAUAUCUCUCUGUAAAUCUAAGCUCUAAUCUGCACACACAUAUCUCCUUUAUGCAACAGAUGUAAAGUAAUGUAAGGUAUGGUAAUGUGCUCAUUCUGGGCAUGUAGCAAGUUACAAACAUUCUGGGCUAGCAUUUUUAAUUGUCUCUCAAAUGAAUUUGGAAAGAACUAGGAGCCUAACCCACUUUGGGCUAUGUUAGGAACAAGGACUACCUCAGUAGCAUUAGAGAAGCAUGAACAGCAUGCUAUUCCUUUUAGUAUUAUUAUUGCAAAAAAAAAUUAUAUCACAAUUGUGGAAACUAGAGUCAGUACCAACGUACGACGUGGAUAAAGGAACUAACUAAUAUACUUGGAGAUACUGUAUUUUCUAUGUAACGAACAGCUAGAGAAAAUAUGGAAUCCGUUCAGAAUGUAUUUUUGAUAGAUUUCAAAAUGUAUGUUUGAUUUUUUAUAAUGGGAUAUAUUUAGAAUUAUUAAAUUAUUAAUUAAUAAAUAAUUAGGUUAGAGUAUUUUUGAUAGACUUCAAUGCACUUUUGUAAGUCGCUCUGGAUAAGGGUGUUUGCCAAAUGCCAUAAAUAUAAAUGUAAUGUAUGUGCCUACACAUGUUAAAAAUGCAACCCCAGAUUGUAACUUACUUAUUCUUUUCCUGUUACAUGUUACCCUGCAAGAUCUUGUCAUGCGUAUUUUGUACAUAUUUUUAAAAUAAAUAUAUAUAUAAAUAUAUAUAUUUGAAAAUAAAUAUUUAAAAAAAGAAAAAAAGAAUCAGUAGAAAAAAGAAUUUUGUCUCUAGACCUCAUGGUUCUCUCGAGAUAUGGCCUAAAGCGUAAAAUGGUGCACUAUGCAGCACUAUAGAUAGCGCCACCAUUAGGUCAAUCAGGCUCACUUCUCUUGCUUGAGAGGGGGAGGAAGUGUUACAUAAUGGCAACAUUUCAUGUCUGUAGCAUGUACGGUUUGGUCUGCAUUUCCUUCCAAAUAGUUUUUCAAUUCAUUCCUAUGGGAAAAAAAUGCACUUCAAACGGCCGGCUAUGCGGGAACCGCAUGACUGAUCAAAAAGCUGUAUACAAGCACACUUUUCCUGACUAGAACUAAUAAUUUGGCACUGGUCCCAUUUUGAUAUCUCAAAAACUGUAGGACUAGAUAGGGGACAAAUUUUUUGACAGAAUAAAAAGAACUAGAAUUCUAGAACUAGAAAUAGAACUAGUGCUUGCCUGUGCAAAAUUCGACACACUGACAUGCAGCUGCACAUGCCACUCAGUAGGGGAAGCUACAUAUGUGUAUGCUUUUGUAUAACUAAUUUGACCUGUGUUGGUAGCUGUGAUGAUUGUCUUUAACGCAAGUUUUUAAUAAAAUAGGUUUUAUAGCAGUCCCCUUGCAUGCACAUGUCAUUAGAAUGCUCAUAAUGCAGUUUUCCUCACUGAGCCGAACGUUUUAAUAUACAACAUGUCCAUGUUGCUGUAGUUUUGUGGGUCCACUUAUUUUGGGGGUUAACAUGCACGUGACAUGCAUCUGAUGUCACUAAAGUACCCGUAACACAAUUCUCCUCAAUCAGCCAUGUGUUUUGAUAUGACAUAUGUCUGUGUACCAGUAGUUUUGUGAUUACACUCAGUUUUGUGGUGAUAUGCACGUGACACCACGUGACCCAUAAUGCAAUUCUGCACAUUGAGUCGAGGGUACAGUCAUCCCCCAUAAUGCAGUUUUCCUCAUUGAGCCGAUUGUUUUGAUGAAUGACAUGACUGCAGUAGUUUGGUGAUUACACUAAGUUUAUGGCCUGUUGGGUCCUGCUACUGAUUUCUCAGUGAACGUGUAUGGGCGAAAUUUAAUUGGGAAUUUCAGAAGACAUGUACGUGCGAUUGAUGAGAAAAGUAAUCGCACACACCUCCUGAAUAUUAAUAACGAUUUUAGGUGUGAUCUGUGGCUGUGAGUCAAACAGUAUCGGACUAGUUAGGUGCCGAAGUUUCCCUAUGGAGAUAGUAAAUCUAAACAGUGUCUCUGUUUGCCUGUUUGCUCCUCUAGGCUCAAUUUGCAUUUUAUAUUAAAGUUAAACGCAACAUGCACAUGGGAUCAAUUCCCAAAUGGGAUUUCCUGAUUCUCUGGACCAAGCCAAACACUUGGACACAUCAUUCAUGUCUGUGUCACUGAGGGCUGGGGAGUUGGGGGGGAGGUCAAAAAUUUCCCAUUAUUGUGUAUGGGGCCAGAAUAACACCAUUUUCUGGACAUUUUAUGGCAAAAAUUCAGAAAGUCUAUGUGUAUAGACUAGUUAUGUGCUGAAGAAGAAGAAAUAUGCACAAUUAUAAUUAUAGCAAUGCAUAGCAAGCACCAGUAAUACUAGAAAAGUGCAUUUCCUGAAGAAAAUGCAGAGGAAUUGCACAUCCAAUGCAAAUCCCAGGUGUCAGUAAGGGGUUUGUCAGGACAGGACAGGGCUAUGCUUGUGGUUCCUAGCUUGUUCUUAAGUGGUUGUAUGGACACUUUAGCUUGAUCAGACACGAGAUGUGAGAAAAAUGUACUUGACCUGCAAACACGCCCCCUCAGUGUGUGAAUGUGUGCAAUUGUGCCUUGCGAUGUGCUGGCACCCCAUCCAGGGAGUCCCCCGCCUUCUGCCCCGAGUUCCCUGGGAUAGGCUCCAGGCUCCCCUGUGACCCUGUGUAGGAUAAGCAGUAUGGAAAAUGGAUGAAUAUCAUGUGUUAUAACUAUCUGAAUAAAUUAAGCCUGGCUUUGCAAUGAUUGACUGGCGGCAGCCAUAUUCUUUGCAAUUAUACAAGGAAUUUAAAUAAUUAUAAUUUAAUAAUUAUAAUUAUUACAAAUAUGUCUCUAAUGAGUAAUUUGACACUAUAUUUUGGAAGAUUUGGCAAAAAUCCUAGGAACAGUUUGCAAAAGAUGGGUUCACAUAUUAAUCAAAUAAAAAAAAAUGUGAGUAGGUUGGGCUAAUGCAGAUUUUUGUUGCAUAAGCAACUGAAUAAGGAGAAAACAAAUAUUCCCCUUCCUGCCUUAUUUUACAUGAGAUAUGUUUGUUUAUAAGUGGGGAAAAAAGAAUAUAACCUCCCAUUGGCAAUUUCAGUGACAAUACAGCAUUUUUCUGGGUCGAUAGCGGGAACUAUGAUUCAAGUUUUGUAAAGAUUGAUCAUUUUAACCCUGUCAAAUGCCUGCUGAAAGCUGAUUGGCCAAUGGCAGCCAUGUUUUUUUAAGCGACCAGGUCAUCAUUAACAAUAAGGAUAAAAAUGCUGAAUUCCAAGUUUUACCUAAUCAGACUUAUGGUUCCUGAGAAACAUUUUCUGAGCUAUGCCACUAUUUAUGACCAUGCCCAAAACUGGGCAUACCAUCUCAGGGUUUUGUCCUGAAGUGGCCUGUCAAUUUUCAUUCAAGUGUAUACAAAGAAUCAUAAGCUACAGUUGUUUGAGUGAAUUGACUCCCCCAUUAGAAUUGAUUUGCAGGUGGCGGCCACAUUGUUCAUCAAUGUAAGAUUUUAAGUGAACAGGCAGCAAGAAAAACAUAAAACAAUCAAUCCUCCCACACAGACUCUGAAGAGCCAGUUAAUUACUUGCAGCUGCCUAAUCUCAACUGUCUUGUGCUCAACAGAGCAAAUAUUAGAACAGAGGAUGAAGCCAAGAGGAACCCUGUCAAAGCUAUUGAUUUAGACCAUUGGCCAAGACCAGAUGGCUGGUCCACAGGAUAACACCCAAGGGCCCUCAACCAUAAAUCUGAUAACCUAAGGCCAAAAGAGGGUGACUCACCCAGGAAGGCCUCAAGAAAGAAUCAACACAGGCUGGCCUUCUGGAUUGAGACCCUUUGUUUUUUCCCCCAGGAAAACAAUUAUCACCCUGUUCUCAUCACCAGUCACACAUUCCACAGAACCCAGCUUUAGGUUACCUUACAUCUCCUGAAAGGACAAUGACUCUUAAAAUGAUGCACCAUAGUUUGAAAAACUUGUUGCCUUUUUAAUGUCAUUCCUUAUAUGUAUCAUGAUUAUAGCCACCAGUUCAUCAUGAUGCUUUUGAUCAUUUAACAGGUAUCAUAGUGUUGAUGACUGUAUCAAUAACAACAUGUUUGGUAUGUUUGUGAUCAUGAUCUAAUUUCCUAAGCGUUGAGAUAAAGUGAUUUUGAGCACAAUGUAUUACGUCCGUGUUGCAAAAUGCAUGACCAAAGUUCUAACUUUACUUUGUGGAAAGUUAGAAAAAGCACAUAACUUAGAGGCCAGUAUGCCAAUUAGUGUCAGAGGAGAAGAAUGCACCCUGCCCCAAGAUUCUGCUGAUUGGAACACUUUGGGGUCAGCCCAGCUAGAAAGGGUUAAAACCCCCUGACACAAAGGAAACUCAGAGUUCUCUUCAUUCAACAUGAUCAGUGAGUACUUUGGAUUUCUCAUCAACCAGAGCUCCAGAAGUUUUUGCCCCUCAACAUCCCAAGGAGAUUACACUCGUUCUGCAUCCAGACUGGUUCCUGCAAAGCCUCUAGCUCCCGUCUUUGCACCACCGGGAACCACAGUUUCUCUCAUCAACACUCGAGACUCCGCCGGAUGUGUGCCUCACUCCAGUCAUCAUCCUGAUUGGUCUUCCAAGACGCCACUCAAAAGCAAUCGGACUGCUGACAAACUCACAUCGCCGGGAAACCCCUCAGACAAGGCAAUGCAAUGAGGCAAUCCCCGUCCAAAGAGACAACUUAAACGCAAGUCAAAUCAGACCUUCGUAAGAGGCUGCAAGGAGAGCACCUAGCCGCCUGCCUGAGGGUCAUCGUCAAUGGGCCAAGCCCAAGGGAAUUCAACUACAAAAGGGCAUUAGAAAUGUUUUUCUCAAAGCCCAGGAAAAUUAAAUAUCCAAAUUCAGGGUGUAAAGAUUGCCAAUAGGGAGAGUUGAUCAAUACCGCAUCCAGUAUUUUUUUUAUUUUCUAAAAAAUAAAUCAGUUCACCACAGGUAACCACUUUUGCUUCAUUUCUUUGAUGCAUCAAAUGUAUGCUCUAUUUGAUUUUGUGUUUUGACCAUUUGUGAACCACGUUAAACUCUGUCACGUAUAACAUGCUUGGUGGGUGUGACUUUUUUGCUGUGUCAUCACCAUUCAUAUCAUACAACCAAUGUGUUUAUGAUUAAAUUAUUACUAGAGCACAAAAUCGUUUACUAGAGCACAAAGUUCUUUAUGGAGCUAGACUCUAAAUUUGCUCUCAAACUGCAACAGAUUGAUGCAUUUAACUUUAAAAUGUACAAAACUUUCUUAUGGGGGACCAUGCCUCCUGACCCCCCCUAGAGGGUCAGAGGUCCACCCACCACAGUCUCACAAAGUCCUGUGGGAAACACUGGUGGGUGUAAACAUUGUAGAUAUAAGCAACAGACUUCAGUGGAAUUAAAGUGGCAGUGCAAUGCAAGCAUUGUCAACAAUAUAAACAUUGUAAACAGUGUGAAAACAGAAAAGUGAAUAGAAGUAAAAUGGCAGUGCAUAUGGACAUGAAUAGAGCAUGGUGGUACUAUUCAAGUUCAUCUAUUGUCCAAUUAGCUUAUCCUAAGACUGGCUCAGUGCAAAAUAGUGUCCCAGCACAGUGAUGAGCUGUUGUACAGUGUGAUCGCUGUUGGUACAAACGACCUCCUGCACUGCUCCUUUCCUCAAAGGAGCUGAAUGAGUCUUCUCCUAGAGGAGCGCCACUGUUUGAUGGUCAUGGAGAGGAUGCUGCUUGUUGUCCAGAAAGGCUGGCAUUUUAUUGAAUGUCCUCUUUUCCACCACUCUCCAGAGAGUAGCCCAAGAUCAACCUGGCCUUCUUGAUCAGUUUGUUGAGUUUUCUUGCAUCGCCAGUUCUGAUGCCGCCUCCAUAGCAUACUGCUGCAAAGAAGAGUGCAUUGGCUACCACUGACUAAUAGAUCUCUAACAUCUUGCUACAAACAUUAAAGGACCUGAGCUUCCUUUCCUGUACGAAGCCUCUCAUUUGACCUUCCAGUCCAGUUGUCAAGAUGGACACCAAGGUAUCUGUAGGUGUAACCCUGCUCAAUGUCCUGACCCAUGAUGGUAAUGGGGCUGGUUGUAGUCCUCAUCCUCCUGUAGGCCACCACCAUCUCCUUGGUCUUGGCCACAUUGAGGAUCAGAUGCUUCUUCCCACACCACUCCACGAAGUUGCUGACCAGGUCCCUGUACUCCUCUUCCUGUCCAUCCCUAAUACACCCUACCACCACAGGGCCAUCAGAAAAUUUCUUAAGGUGGCAGAGACCUGACCUGCACUGAAAGUCUGCGGUGUACAGGGUGAAGAGGAAGGUGGAGAGCACAGUGCUCAGACAGGCAGGUUCCCAGCUGCCCAUCCUGGGGUCUUUCCAACAGGUAGUCAGCGACCCAGGAGAUCAUGGACAUGUCCACUUGCGUUCUUCUCAUCUUCUCUUUCAGUAGGAGAGAUUGGAUGGUGUUAAAUGUGCUUGAGAAAUCAAAGAAAGUGAUUCUCACUGUGGUGGUGUUGUGGUCCAGAUGAGAGUGGGCCUUUUGCAAUAGAUAUAUGACUGCAGAUUCCACAUCUACCUGUGGAUGGUAGGCAAACUGCAGGGGAUCCAGAAAAGAGUCGACCUGAGGUCUGAGAUGGAACAGCACUAGUCUCUCCAGGACCUUCAUAACAUGUGAUGUGAGGGCUACUGGUUUAUAAUUGUUCAGGGAGGAGGGAGUUGUCUUGGAACCAGGCAGGAUGUUUUUCACAGCUCUGGCAUUUUCUCCUGUUGAAGGCUCAGGUUGAAGAGGUGCUGGAGGAUCCCACAUAGCUGGCUGUCAGCUGCAGCUACAGCUUUCCCAAUUUCAGCCUCUCCAACUGUCUCUUCACCUGGCCGGUAGUGACAGAUUGUUGUAAUUCCCUUGAGGAUGGAAGCAUUCAAGUCCGGAAUAUCCGCCUGCAGCUAUGUCUCAGUGAAACAAAGCACACUGCACUCCCGAUACUGCCUCCGGGUUAUGAUCAGUGUGUUGAGCUUGUCCAUCUUAUUGCCAAGAGACCUAACAUUUCUGAUGAUGAUGGAGGGAAAGAAGGGCUUGUAGCAUCUCCUCUUUGCCUUUGUUUUGUAUACAGCUCUGCAUCUUUAGUACAAUCUCAGCAGUGCACCAGCAGCUGAUCGUGUGUACAUGAAGCAACUUGCUAUCUCCCCGUUGUUCUCCAUGCCAAGCAUAGAGUGCAUAACAGAUAAAAACUGUGCCUAAACAGACUGAAACUUAGAAGUAAGAAAAAGAGGACCUGAAGAAAAGCAAAGUGACAGAUAUGUAGGUAGAAAAACCUAAUAUAGGUAAUAUACUUAACAUUUAACAUCUCUCGAAAGGAACUGCUGUAAUUGGCUGCCACUAGCAUGGUGCCAUCUUGGUUUGUGAUGCAUUUCCUGAAGAAAAUGUAGAGGGAUUGCACAGCCAAAGCAACACAACAACACCACAAUGUCACUAAGGGAUUGAUGGGGCAUUGUCAGUGCCUACAGUCAGGUCCAUAAAUAUUG